GCCCUUUCAGGGUUGCACCUGGAGAGUUUCUGGGACUCUACCGGUCUUGACUAUGGGAGGGAGAGUCAAGCAGAGUCAAUUCCAUUCUUAGCUUGGGCAGUGGCUAGUGAGUGGAAGGCAAUCUGCUACAAGU